UGACCUCAAUUCAGUCGUGAUUACCCGCUGAAUUUAAGCAUAUAACUAAGCGGAGGAAAAGAAACUAACGAGGAUUUCCUUAGUAACGGCGAGUGAAAAGGAAAAAGCCCAACGCUGAAUCCAAUAGACUAAAUUGUGCUAUAUGGAAAUGUAGCGUAUAGGUGUAACUAUCUGUAACAUAUUUUUUACACCCAAAGUCCCCUUGAGUGGGGCUACAGUCCAUAGAAGGUGCUAGACCUGUACGGGUGAAAAAAAGUUGCAGUAUGUUAUUCCUUGGAGUCGGGUUGUUUGAGAUUGCAGCCUAAAGAGGGUGAUAAACCUCAUCUAAGGCUAAAUAUGACCACGAGACCGAUAGCAAACAAGUACCGUGAGGGAAAGUUGCAAAGAACUUUGAAGAGAGAGUUCAAGAGGGCGUGAAACCGCUGAGAUGGAAACGGAUAGAGUUAACGAAACUUAUCGGUAUUCAACCAAUCAAUUUAGCAAUCUUAAAUUAUUUUUUUUUUAUUUAUUUUUAAUAAAUAAAAAUAAUAAAUUUAAGAGAUAAGUGCUAAAUUUUAUAUGAUUGGUGUAUUUACCGAUAGUAUGCAUCGAGAGCUUCAUUUUAGCAUAUUAAUACAUUUAAUUUAGUGGACCAAUUAUUUUUAAUUGAUAAUUGAAAUCCUAAAUUUGUUGAAAUAUGUCUUAAAUGAAGUUUUAAUAUCCCAAUAUAUGUAACUUUCACUUUGAAAUAAAUUAGUGACAUGUAUCGAUUAUAAUUUUACUAAUUACAUUUAUAUGUGGUCGCAUGCGACUUAAUCAUUAAAUGUUUUUUUUAAAAUAAGUAAAAUUAUAAUAUUGUAUACAAUAAAUAAGUUACAUUUCGAUGUGAACGUUAAUCACCUAUCUGACCCGUCUUGAAACACGGACCAAGGAGUCUAGCAUAUACGCAAGUUAUUGGGUGUUAAACCUUAUUUAUAUAUAUGAAAAAAGCAUAAUGAAAGUAAAGAUUAUCUUUAAUUAUAAUUGAUAUGUGAUCUAUAUAUAUAUAUAUAUAUAUAUAUAUAUAGCGUAACAUAACCCCGUUCAUAUUGCAUGCAAUAGGGCGGAGGUAGAGCGUAUAUGCUGGGACCCGAAAGAUGGUGAACUAUACCUGAGCAGGAUGAAGCCAGAGGAAACUCUGGUGGAGGUCCGAAACGAUUCUGACGUGCAAAUCGAUCGUCUGACUUUGGUAUAGGGGCGAAAGACUAAUCGAACUAUCUAGUAGCUGGUUCCCUCUGAAGUUUCCCUCAGGAUAGCUGGAGUACAAAUUAAAAGCAGUUAUAUUCGGUAAAGCAAAUGAUUAGAGGAAUUGUGGAACGAAAUGUCUUCAAUCUAUUCUCAAACUUUCAAUGAGUAUGAUGUCUUGCUUGCUUAAAUAAUUGAAGCGUAGACAUUGAAUGUGUACUCCAAGUGGGCCAUUUUUGGUAAGCAGAACUGGCGCUGUGGGAUGAACCAAACGUUGAGUUAAAGUGCCAAACUUUCCGCUCAUAAGAUCCCAUGAAAGGCGUUGGUUGAUAUAGACAGCAGGACGGUGGCCAUGGAAGUUGGAAACCGCUAAGGAGUGUGUAACAACUCACCUGCCGAAUCAACUAGCCCUGAAAAUGGAUGGCGCUUGAGCGGAAGACUUAUACUCAACCGUUGUAUGGCUUGUGUGUUUUUUUUUUUUUUUUUUGGGAAACCUGGCCACAACGAGUAAGAGGGUCGCAAUGGUUAGCGUUGAAGACUUUGGGCGUAGGCCCAGUUGAAGCUUCCAUUGGUGCAGAUCUUGGUGGUAGUAGCAAAUAUUCAAGUGAGAUCCUUGAAGACUGAAGUGGAGAAGGGUUCCACGUGAACAGCAGUUGAAUGUGGGUCAGUCGAUCCUAAGAUAUUGGCUAAUGCCGUUUAUAAAUAAAAUAGAGGAAUGGAGAUUAUAAUCCAUCUGAUAAAAUCGAAAGGGAAACGGGUUAAUAUUCUCGUACCUGGACACGGAGAUAAAUACUCAUCGUGAGAAUUUAGCGCGGUAACGCAAAUGAACUCGGAAACAUUGAGGAAAGCUCGAGCCAGAGUUCUCUUUUCUGGUUAAGGAACGGACUCCCUGGAAUCGGUUCAGCCGGAGAUAGGGAUGUUGUUUCCGUAAAGCGCCACGGUUCCUGUGGUGUCUCGUGCGCUUUGUUCGAUCCAUGAAAAUCCGAGGGAAGCUAUUUGAAUUUCGUGCCAGAUCGUACCCAUAUCCGCAGCAGGUCUCCAAGGUGAACAGCCUCUAGUCGAUAGAAUAAUGUAGGUAAGGGAAGUCGGCAAAUUAGAUCCGUAACUUCGGAAUAAGGAUUGGCUCUAAGGACUGGGCCGAUCGGGCUGUAAUGUGAAGUGAGUAUGGUUUAAUCCAUGCAGUGUAACAUUAAUAAAUUUUUUUUUAAAAAGAAAUUUAUUUAAUGAAACUCGGCUAGUGUUUGAACUAUCUUAUGGACCGUUAUAGCGCCAUAUCACAUUUAUUUUUUAUUUUUUA
rfam:Tinamus guttatus contig8510, whole genome shotgun sequence.